rnacentral:rRNA from 1 species
CCUACGGGAGGCAGCAGUGAGGAAUAUUGGUCAAUGGACGUGAGUCUGAACCAGCCAAGUCGCGUGAAGGAAGAAGGAUCUAUGGUUUGUAAACUUCUUUUAUAGAGGAAUAAAGUGAUCCACGUGUGGCUAUUUGCAUGUACCCUAUGAAUAAGCAUCGGCUAACUCCGUGCCAGCAGCCGCGGUAAUACGGAGGAUCCGAGCGUUAUCCGGAUUUAUUGGGUUUAAAGGGUGCGUAGGUGGGUUUUUAAGUCAGCGGUGAAAGUUUGUGGCUCAACCAUAAAAUUGCAGUUGAAACUGGCAGUCUUGAGUGUAGUUGAGGUAGGCGGAAUGCGUGGUGUAGCGGUGAAAUGCAUAGAUAUCACGCAGAACUCCGAUUGCGAAGGCAGCUUACUAAGCUAUAACUGACAUUGAUGCACGAAAGUGUGGGGAUCAAACAGGAUUAGAUACCCUGGUAGUC